GUGAUCGCUUAGGCAGCACAUAUAGUAAAGUUGAAACGAUACACAGAAGGUUGGCAUGGCCCCUGCAGGUCGUGAUCCGUGUUAAAAAAGAAAAAAAUUGUG
ensembl:snRNA U6 U6 spliceosomal RNA